UUAAAUUUGGUUUUGGUUUAGAAUUAAUUUUAUUUAUUAGAAACACAUGAUAGUUUUGCGAAUCUGUAAAUAAUAAGUUUUUCUAAGAAAAUUUAAAAAANUUUUUUUUUAAUGCUUAUUUGUAUUAAAGUAAUUAAUGAUAUAAUUUUUACAACUUCAGUGUUUAAUAUUAAAAAUUAAAGAAAUUUAGAUUUAGAAAUUAAUAUUAGAGCUAGUAAAAUUUGUGCCAGCAUCUGCGGUUAGACAAAAAGCUUUAAUUAAUUUUUUUGGUUAUAAGACAAAUAUAAAUUAGUUGGGUUAUUAGACUAUAUUUAUUUAUAGAGGUAAAAUUCUUAUAUAUAUUUACAGUUGAUUUCUAGUUAUUAUAGAAUUUGUGAAGAUUAAAAUUAAAACUGGGAUUAGAUACCCCAUUAUUUUAAAGUUAAAUUUUUUCACCUGAGUAUUACGAGUUAAUAGCUUAAAACUCAAAAAACUUGGCGGUACUUUAAGUUCGUCUAGGGGAACCUGUCCUAUAAAUGAUGAUCCGCGUUUAACCUUACUUUAUAGAUUAGUAAGAUAUUUUUACUAUGAGUUUGUAUACUUCCGUUUUCAGUUAAUUCUUAAGGAAAAUAAAAUUAACUAUUUAACAUUAAUUGUUUUUAUAUCAGGUCAAAGUGCAGCUUAUAAUAAAGAAGAGAUGGGUUACAAUUUAAAAAUAAAUUUAUCAGUAAUGAAAAUGAAAUAUUUCAUUUAAGUAGGACUUAGAAGUAAUUUUAAAUUAUGAAUAUUAAAAUGAAUAAGACUCUAAAGUGUGUACAUAUUGCCCGUCACUCUCCUUUUAUUAGGAGAUAAGUCGUAACAUAGUAGGGGUAGCUGAAGCUGUUCCU
rnacentral:ncRNA from 1 species